rnacentral:misc_RNA from 1 species
CGAUGAAAAAGAUGAGCUCAAGCUCGAAUUCUAACUCUUCUCUCUCCCUAUAACAAGUGGUCCAGAAGUUGAGAAAUUGAGUUGGAGUGAAGCAAGUGUCUGAGCUUCAGUCUGUUUUUUUACUUCAACUGGAAGUAUGUGAGGCCAGCACGAGCAUUAGAUCAUUUAUCUUUUUAUCAUUUUGAAGAUUUGACACUCUGAUAUCAUGUCAUGACUGUUUUAGGAUAAAUACAACCAAAAAUACAUUCCACUUGGUUUCAUGUUAGCAACAGUAAAAGAGUUCAUUUCUCUUUAUCUAUAAUUUU